GACGAACGCUGGCGGCGUGCCUAAUACAUGCAAGUAGAACGCUGAAGGAGGAGCUUGCUUCUCCGGAUGAGUUGCGAACGGGUGAGUAACGCGUAGGUAACCUGCCUGGUAGCGGGGGAUAACUAUUGGAAACGAUAGCUAAUACCGCAUAACAGUAGAUGUUGCAUGACAUUUGCUUAAAAGGUGCAAUUGCAUCACUACCAGAUGGACCUGCGUUGUAUUAGCUAGUUGGUGAGGUAACGGCUCACCAAGGCGACGAUACAUAGCCGACCUGAGAGGGUGAUCGGCCACACUGGGACUGAGACACGGCCCAGACUCCUACGGGAGGCAGCAGUAGGGAAUCUUCGGCAAUGGACGGAAGUCUGACCGAGCAACGCCGCGGGAGUGAAGAAGGUUGUCGGAUCGUAAAGCUCUGUUGUAAGAGAAGAACGAGUGUGAGAGUGGAAAGUUCACACUGUGACGGUAUCUUACCAGAAAGGGACGGCUAACUACGUG
rnacentral:rRNA from 1 species